GACGAACGCUGGCGGCGUGCUUAACACAUGCAAGUCGAACGAAGAGCGAUGGAAGCUUGCUUCUAUCAAUCUUAGUGGCGAACGGGUGAGUAACGCGUAAUCAACCUGCCCUUCAGAGGGGGACAACAGUUGGAAACGACUGCUAAUACCGCAUACGAUCUAAUCUCGGCAUCGAGGAUAGAUGAAAGGUGGCCUCUACAUGUAAGCUAUCACUGAAGGAGGGGAUUGCGUCUGAUUAGCUAGUUGGAGGGGUAACGGCCCACCAAGGCGAUGAUCAGUAGCCGGUCUGAGAGGAUGAACGGCCACAUUGGGACUGAGACACGGCCCAGGCUCCUACGGGAGGCAGCAGUGGGGAAUCUUCCGCGAUGGACGAAAGUCUGACGGAGCAACGCCGCGUGAGUGAUGACGGCCUUCGGGUUGUAAAGCUCUGUUAAUCGGGACGAAAGGCCUUCUUGCGAAUAGUGAGAAGGAUUGACGGUACCGGAAUAGAAAGCCACGGCUAACUACGUG
rnacentral:rRNA from 1 species